CACGUAGGGUGCGAGCGUGUCCGGAAUUAUUGGGCGUAAAGAGCUCGUAGGCGGUGUGUCGCGUCGGCCGUGAAAACCUGCAGCUUAACUGUGGGCUUGCGGUCGAUACGGGCAUCACUGGAGUUCGGCAGGGGAGACUGGAAUUCCUGGUGUAGCGGUGAAAUGCGCAGAUAUCAGGAGGAACACCGGUGGCGAAGGCGGGUCUCUGGGCCGAGUACUGA
rnacentral:rRNA from 1 species